rnacentral:rRNA from 1 species
UAGUCCACGCCCUAAACGACGUAUACUCGAUGUUUGGAUUUAUUUCUGGGCAUCCAAGGGAAACCAUUAAGUAUACCACCUGGGGAGUACGUCGGCAACGAUGAAACUCAAAGGAAUUGACGGGGGUCCGCACAAGCAGUGGAGCAUGUGGUUUAAUUCGAUGAUACGCGAGGAACCUUACCAGGGCUUAAAUGUAAGUUGCAUUAGUUAGAGAUAGCUAUUUCUUCGGACUACUUACAAGGUGCUGCAUGGUUGUCGUCAGCUCGUGCCGUGAGGUGUCAGGUUAAGUCCUAUAACGAGCGCAACCCCUACCGUUAGUUGCUAGCAGGUCAUGCUGAGGACUCUAAUGGGACUGCCGGUGCAAACCGAGAGGAAGGUGGGGAUGACGUCAAAUCAUCACGGCCCUUACGUCCUGGGCUACACACGUGCUACAAUGGUAUAUACAGAGGGCAGCUACUCCGCGAGGGGAUGCGAAUCUUGAAAGUAUAUCACAGUUCGGAUCGGAGU